UUCAUAUAUAUAGACACUAUACUUCGAUCACCAGGAGUAAAGUGUUAUACAUUGAUGGAUUUUGCAGGAUAGAUUUAGGAUACUCGAUGCAUGCUCCGCUUAUCACCGCUUUUCGCCUCCGCAUUUCCCGAACAUUUACUUUCAAUGCUUCCGCUACUUAUCGGAAAAUAUUACACGACAAAAGAUGAACACGCUUCUUUUAUCCUUUAAUUUCCUCCUCAUCCUAGUUCCUGUCAUGUUCACCUUUAGUAAGAUUUUUUUUUGUUUUAAGUUCCGUUUAUAUUUCAUUACAAAAAUCUUUCAAAAAUUUCGAAAAAUUUUUCUCGAUACGAUAACAACGAUUGAACAUUUAAAUUGAAUACGAUGCAGAAUCUUUGUUAACAAAGCUGUAUAAUGUGGUUUACGCGAGAUUGAGUUUCCUCGAAGGAAAAAUCAGAAGAGAAAGAAGAUCUGGAAUAACAAAGAGACAGUAUAGGAGAGCAAGCAUGUUUUUCCUAUAAUAAUACGAACUCUCUCUCUCUCUUUCUUUUUCUCUCCCUCCUUUCUCUCUCUCUCUCUCUCUCUCUCUCUCUCUCUCUCUCUCUCUCUCUCUCUCUCUCUCUCUCUCUACGUUUUCGCGUGAAUCCCUACAAUAACAUCGGAGACCAAGUAAUAACACCAGUUUCACCUGAGAUGCGAGGCAAAUAUAGCGUAGGGAGUUUCAUCCUCGACCCAGAAGGAACUUUGUUUAACCGUUGUACCAAUGAAAUUACACUUUUUGAUCGUUGUCGCUUAAUUGAUUCAUUAAACCUCAACCGGUAUCGUCGGAUUACAGGAUAGAAACCUAAUUGGGAGAAAAUUUUAAGGAUACAGAACUUUCACAAUCGGGAAAUUCUCUAGAAUUCUCUAUUAGAACGUUAUAAUCAACUAACGAAAAGUUCCGAACGAAUUGGAUAGGAUAAAAGAAAAUCUCUAGAAUAUUACUAGAUUCGUACAUACGUACGUAAAUUUACGUCAUUAGAAAAAUAUUUUAAAAAAAAACAAUAAGAAUUAGAAACCUAGGAUUUAUUUAUAAUCUUAAAAUCUGCUGAAAAUAAUUACAGAAAUAUUAAAAUAAUAAUUUUUCUUAAAAUACAUUCGUUUUAAAAUACAUUCGUUUUAAAAUACAUUCGUUUUAAAAUACAUUCACGAUGUAUUCGACGAUACAUCCAAAAACAGGAAGUAGUCUACAUGUCAUUUUCCAAUCGGCCUGGGAAAAGUAACAUGCGAAUCGCCCUGUAGGAAUGAUGAAAGAUGGGAACGCGGUUUUCCAUCGUGUGAGAAGGGCCUUUGUAACGCAUUGAAACACGGCUUAUCGACGCCCACGAGGAUUGGUGUUUCCGCCUGUAUUCCUGGUACAACUGUAGAACAACACGAACCGGAUACAGAGGGUGUGCGUGACAGCGGCAAAAAGGAGAGAUAAAAAAUUCUCGAGACGCGCAAAGGGACAAGUAUUAUUCGCCCGUCGUACGCGAAUCGCUACGCGAAUUCUUGAACGCGCGACGUGCGUGCGCAUUCGAUCACGAUAUACACCGGUGGCAGCUGCUUCUGCGAUGCAAAUUCCCCCUAAUUGCAGAUCGCAGUUCGCCGAUAACGUGUUUACGGAAAGCUAAUAAAUUUCUCUAAUAACAGGUCGCGACAAGAAUUUAUAAUGAAGAAAUUUACGUGGCCGGUUACUUCGAGUGCGCGUUGUAUAUAUAGAUCAUCUUCACGCGACCGCCAUUUUCUCCUUUGGAGUCGAGUUUGAUCUUGGCCGUAUUUCUCUGGGAGCUGGUCGAUAUACCAGGUUAAGUUUGCUUUAAAUGAUUAACAUUGUGGAACUGGUAGAUUAGGGCUGAAAGUUAGGUUAGGUUCAAGUUCGCCCAUAUCAAUUCUGUGAAAAUUUUACGCGAAAGGUUGGCCAUCUGCUAUAAUACGAAGUUAUGGUUAUUCUCGUGUAACGUGAAGUAUUAACAAAAGUUUUUGACGCAUAAGUGUAUGAGCUAGCCUCAAAAAAUAAUGAGAAUAGUAAAAAAGUGGAUGAUUUCAAGAUAAAGGAAUCUAUACUAAUAUAAAUACUAUUUGGAUAUGAAUGAAAGUUGGUACAUCUACAUUGCCGUUGUCAUCUGAAUUAAUCGUUAUUCUCCGAUGUUACUCCCUGAACACAUGGAAGCCAUCUUACAGGUUUGUUCUCACAUAAAUACAUCUUGCUCUUCUCUUUGUCUGGCUUUAGGGAAAAGGCGGAACGUGAGAGAUUCGUGGCUAAAACAGAGAGAAGAGCCGAUCUGUCGACGAAGGCGAUGUCAUCGUCGUUGUCUGUACGCACAUUUACACGGAAGCCAAUAUUUGCACGGCAGAGUUGGCAUCAGUUUCCUUUGGUCAGACCUCUCGAUGCGGCGUCGUAUUUAUCGUGCAAACUAACGACGAUCGCACCGAACUUCGAUAUCAAAGCGACGCUGUCAGACAGUAAACGACGAACUACUUGAUCCGGAUAAAUAAAGCGAAGAUAGCUGAGAAAGAUACACCUACGGUUUGAUGAUUGAUCGGACACAAAUUUCUCACUUGAUCACUGGUCUCAGAUUUCCCUUGAAAAGCCUGGAACUAUUUCUGUUCAAAUAACGACUUUAAUUCUGUGCUUCAAAAGAAAAAAAAAUUCUAUUUUUCUUUAGAAUUGAAUUUGUUUAAAGCACUUUAAAUUUUUUAAAAAGUUUUUUUGAUAUAUAAGAUAGCGAAUAAUUGUCUUAAUUGUCAGAAUUUGUUAUUGAAAAUUAUAUGCUCACAAAGUUCAUCACGUUGACUUUUUAUGUUAUUAUAACAUAAUCACAGAAUAACAUGAUAGAAAUAGGCACCAAAUUCAAAUUUUAUUUCCAGUAAAAUUUUAUUUGAGAAACGUUAAUUCGUUUUUAAUUAAAUGGAAUAAAUUUACAGUUUGAAUGUUAAUUAUGAAAAAUUAUGAGAAAGAUUAUAGAAUAACUAUUUAUUUCUUUAGGUAUUAGGUCUUUAGAUAUGAAUAUUAUGAAGUUAUAUUAAAUUAUUUUAUUUAGGUUUAGAGGUUAAUUAUAAAAAAUGUUAAGAUACGUUCCUAAGCUCUGAAGAUAAUCUAACUUGUCCUAUGCUUUCCUUUAAAAGCCAGUCUACGAUGCUCAUCUCGGUUAAACGCCGCACCUUAGUGAUUAAUCACCCUAUGAUCGCGAUAUUCUUUAGUCUAAUGCGCUAGUAGAUGCCGUGUGGCAGCACGGUUUACAUAGGCUUUUUAUCCGACAAAUCGAGAGAUCUUCGGCUAUUUUCCAUUGCAAUUUUAUCAGUCGGUAAUGCAGUCGUUAUUAACCUUCGACAAAGAUCUUACCGAUGUGGCAAAUCACCGGCUUAAACUCGAUGAAAGAUGCGUUCACAGAGUGUGAAAGACAGAAAUCUAGUGUUUUUUGUGGUCAUCGUUUGUACGCAGGCAGGCCUGGCUCUGACAGGCUCUGUAAGAAUACCGUAUAAUAAAGGUGGUCCCUUUUUUUUUACUACGCGUUAUAGUUUAAAAAAUAUGAAAAUUAAAUAUUAAAUUGAAAUAUAAUUUAAAAUAUUCUUAUCGAUUGUUACAAUUUUUAUUCACAAAAGAUACUAUAUGAAAAAUGGCAUCUUUUUUGAUAACAAAAAAAAAAAUAACGUUAAAUAAAUAAUUUUUGUAUAAA